AACACGUGGGAACAUCCCUUUCAGUUCGGAAUAACUCAGGGAAACUUGAGCUAAUACCGGAUACGUCCGUGAGGAGAAAGAUUUAUCGCUGAAAGAUUGGCCCGCGUCUGAUUAGCUAGUUGGUGAGGUAAUGGCUCACCAAGGCGACGAUCAGUAGCUGAUCUGAGAGGAUGAUCAGCCACAUUGGGACUGAGACACGGCCCAAACUCCUACGGGAGGCAGCAGUGGGGAAUAUUGGACAAUGGGCGCAAGCCUGAUCCAGCCAUGCCGCGUGAGUGAUGAAGGCCUUCGGGUUGUAAAGCUCUUCUAUCCGGGAAGAUAAUGACUGUACCGGAAGAAUAAGCCCCGGCAAACUUCGUGCCAGCAGCCGCGGUAAUACGAAGGGGGCUAGCGUUGUUCGGAUUUACUGGGCGUAAAGCGCACGUAGGCGGCUUGUUAAGUCAGAGGUGAAAGCCUGGAGCUCAACUCCAGAACUGCCUUUGAUACUGACAGGCUCGAGUAUGGUAGAGGUUGGUGGAACUGCGAGUGUAGAGGUGAAAUUCGUAGAUAUUCGCAAG
rnacentral:rRNA from 1 species